GGACUUGAGGGAAAGGGCUGAGUGUUGGAGACCAUCAUUCUUUAGUGCUGGCACCUGUCUAGUCUGGGUCUGCCUCAGGUGUAUUCCAGACUCCUUAAAAUCUAUUGUUUUUCUCUUCUCGGCAGACAUCUUUAAAGUAAUCAGUUCUGUCUGGUUGAGAAAGUAAUUUGGAAUUUCUAACCUAUCAAUGUUUUUGUAGACAUUGUCUCUGAAAGAAAAUAGCAUUCAGUGUUAGAUCUAGAAUUUUCUCCUAAAAGGAAAUGUUCUACUGAGUCUCAUGCUAGUCAGUAUAGCAUUAGAUAUAAGUUCUCAGGCUUUGGGUCCCCCCCCCCCUUUCUAGUUUUCUCUAUUCCAAAAAAGCCGUAAGAGUAAAGGGGGUGCAGGGGUGCGAGCCCACUGAGCUGAAAGCAGUAGGCACUUCGCAGAGUCAGAUUACAUCAUAGGUUCUUGAGCAGUGUGUGUAUGGCGUUAGUCACCUUGUCACCUCUUGAGCAGUGUGUGUAUGUCAUUAGUUACCUUGUCACCCUCUUCAGUCUGAUAUUUUAAUUCAGGUGAGCCUUUGAUUAGCGGUUAGUGUCACUUGGAUUGUGGCAAGCUAGCAGAACUUGUUUGUUUAUGACUAUGGUAAGAACAUGUCUGGAGCUACGUCAGGAGUGAGAGGCUUUAUUCUUUCAUAAUUGUGUCUGUUACCCCAGCAGGAAGUAUCUUGCCCUUCUUUUUUAAUCAGAAUAGCUACCCAAGGAAUCUGCCAGGAGAAAGGACAGGGAAAGAAGGCUUGUGGUCACUCCAGCCCAAGGCAAGACCAGGCCUGCCAAACUCUCCCUUCUUCAUUCACCCACCCAGCUUUGCUUCAGUUCUUUCAGAGCUGAUUCAGAGUACAUUUCAUGGUACUGCAUGGUACAGCGAUUCAGGGCUUAAACAAUUGGCUAGGUCGGGCUGCAGAGGGCAAGAGUCAUAGCCUGGGCCCACCUGUCCCAACUCUCAUAACUUUUUUAUGAAAACAAUAGAAAACUAAUUCAAAUAAUGAAAUUGAUCCAUUUGCCUAAAAUCAUUGCUUCUUGAUAACUAGGUUUUGGCAUGGUUCCAUGUGCUAGGGAGAGAAGCAGUAUAUGUUGAACUUUGUAGGAGUUUAGGAACCAUGAAAGAAACACUAAGCUAUUUAUUUGUCCUUUUUUUUUUCCCUAAGUAGGCAAUUCUGUCUCUGUAUAUUUUGACAAACAACCACUUCACCGUUGGUGCCUUCCAUGUGUCACAUAAGCACUCUUGUCAAUCAUGGAAUUGGGGCGGGAUGCACAUUUAGUUAAACAGAUAACACUAUUUUUGUAGCAUGACUGUGUCCUUUCAAUAUCGCUUUCUACAUCGGUCCUGACAUUUGGGCCAUUCCCUCUUAAACUUCUAUGUAUUUUUCAAAACAACCCCUUCCAGCAAGUCCUGUCCCUAGCACUGUGUUUUUCUUUCCCACACUGCACUUCUGCUGGUGUAGUCUGAGAGUCAGAGGAGAGUUCUGAAAAAAGUCACGUUCUUGUAAUUCUGUUUGACACUGUUUGACUGUUUUAGACUGGAAGAACUGUUGCUCACCAACAGUGAGAAGAAGGUGGUCUCAUUUUUCACAAGUUUCAACCAUGCACCACCUUCCUGCUUGCUGGGUCUGGUGAGAGCUUGCAUUUUGUUUCUUGCAUUGACUCCUGGCCCUCCCAUUCUAGCCAGUCCCAGGCUGCUGUCUGGCUGUCUCCUAGGAUGGGCUAAGUGCCGCUGUGUCCAGCAGCACCUCAGCCUUGCUCGGAUUCACCACACUUGGGUUUAGGUGGUGGGUUUCUGGGUAGCCUCAAUGCCAUAGGAGGUCCCGUGCUGUGGCGGGCUGGCUGGAGCCUGAGCACAGGGUGACCUAGCCGUCCAUUUUGUUUUCCUCACUGCACACCUUGGAGUUGUCUGGCCAGGAAAACCUCACUGAGCCAUUGCUGAGUAAGGUAUCCUCUGAGACAUGAACUUGUAGCUCUUUGGUUUUUGUCCUUGGAAGAGUCAAAAUAUGUAAUUCUGUGACAACAGAAGUCAUUAUGUGGCUGAAUGACAGUUUUCUGCCAGGAUCGGCCACGGCCACUCCAUUUAACUAGUGGCACUCUUGGGAGACAAUAGUUAGCACAUUUUGUUUCUUGAGUUGGGUUUUCUUUGAGGCAGGGUCUUGCUAGGUAGUCCUGUCUGACCUCUAACAAUAGCAAUCCCCCUGUUUCUUCCUCCUAAAUGCUGGGAUAGUACACAGAAGUGUACUACCAUACCCAGCUAAAGUUUAGCAUGGGAAUUCCAAGGUGAAGGCUGUUAACAAAACAAACUUUAAUUUGUGUUGUUUGCAGUACUAAGCUUCCCAUCCUGGCCCAUUUGACGUUGCUACCAUGGGUGGGCCUCCCCUGACUCCGGGGUUUACCCUGUGCAUUUCAAAUGAUGUGGGAGCCAUGGCAUUUGCUCCUGUUGAUUUGCCUGACAGCAGGCAAAGCCUCACACUGCCCUCAACCUCCCCACUUUUCCUUUGAAGGACCAAUUUUUCAUGGUACUUGUCUUGAUUGUUUUCAUAUUGUUCAAAUCUGUAUUUUUGUAUGUAGAGGGAAAUAAUUUUCUCAAUACUAAUCACUAAUGAUACUGUAUUGUCAUGAAGGAGUUCUUGUUUAAUAAAUGGACAUAUAAAAUGC
rnacentral:lncRNA from 1 species